UCUGAUGAAGUUUUGGUGGGGGGGUUUUGGCGGGGGGAGGGAGGCUUCCCCCCCCCCGCAUUGCAAAAGAGGCUGGAAUUUCUUAGCUCCUUCGCAAUCCCCCUCCUCACCAUUCCCAUCCUCAAGGAGGUUGGAAUAUUUGCACUUCUUCCUACCCCCCCCCCUAAAAUAUAUAUGCUUGGUUUGCAAGCAGACCGAAGGAAGAGGCGCGCCCGUGAAAGCGACCAAGUGGCGCUGUUCUGAGUCGGUUGUUUCCUGCUGGUGCUUAAGAGAGAGAAUAGUUCUCGUUCCUGAGUUGCUGCGUGUCCUCUGAGCCUUCCCUGCUAAUAGGUGACGAGAGCAAAAUAGCCAGCGACUCUCUCGACUGCAAAGCUCUCUCCAAGAUUUGGCUGGAUGGCGUGUCCUUUCCAGACUUGUGUUUCUCACAGGAAUUGGUUCUCGAAUUUUAGCUGGAGAUGGGAGUAAGGAAUCGAAGAGGUCUUCGCCAUCGCCGUCCCCAUCGGAAGCGGACAUCCCAGCUUGCAUUGCGGCAGGCGUGGAGUGACUUUUCUUGCCCAAGGGAAGCAUCCCCUUGGAGGAAAUUUGGGGGGGACCACAUGUUAGCGAUUGGCAGGACCAGGGCCAAGACUGGGCGAAGCAAUGGGUGCGGAUCUCACCUGAGUUCCGGCUGAAAAAAUGCCCUGCAAAACACAUAAUAAAAAUAAUCAUAGAGAGUUGGAAGGGACCCUGAUGGUUAUCUAGUCCAACCCCCUGCAAGGCAAGAAUAUGCAACCUGCAAGCUGCGUGUUAUUCACACAAUGCAUUAACCAGCUGAGCGAUCCUGAAUGAAAACAUAAUAAAAACAA